rnacentral:rRNA from 1 species
AGUGAACGCUGGCGAUAGGCCUAACACAUGCAAGUCGAACGGCAGCACAGUAAGAGCUUGCUCUUGCGGGUGGCGAGUGGCGGACGGGUGAGGAAUACAUCGGAAUCUACUUUUUCGUGGGGGAUAACGUAGGGAAACUUACGCUAAUACCGCAUACGACCUACGGGUGAAAGCAGGGGAUCUUCGGACCUUGCGCGAUUGAAUGAGCCGAUGUCGGAUUAGCUAGUUGGCGGGGUAAAGGCCCACCAAGGCGACGAUCCGUAGCUGGUCUGAGAGGAUGAUCAGCCACACUGGAACUGAGACACGGUCCAGACUCCUACGGGAGGCAGCAGUGGGGAAUAUUGGACAAUGGGCGCAAGCCUGAUCCAGCCAUACCGCGUGGGUGAAGAAGGCCUUCGGGUUGUAAAGCCCUUUUGUUGGGAAAGAAGAGCAGCAGGUUAAUACCCCGCUGUUCUGACGGUACCCAAAGAAUAAGCACCGGCUAACUUCGUG